CGCGGGGUGGAGCAGCUUGGUAGCUAGUCGGGCUCAUAACCCGAAGGUCGUCGGUUCAAAUCCGGCCCCCUCAACCA
rnacentral:tRNA from 1 species